AACCGCACUUGUCAAAUUGGGAAACUCAUCAAGUGUUUUGUGUUUACCGAGAUGUUGUUGGCAACAAUGGCGGGCCGCUGGUACACCUUGUGUGCACGAGACGGAUUACAAAAGUGCCGACACGCUUUAAUCCUGAUUAUAGGAGUUUUCACAAUUCACAGUGCGGUUUUGUCU
rnacentral:sRNA from 1 species